GGUCACGAGAUCCGGUUCACGAGCCCUGGCUUGCCGGACAGCAACCCUCCGUGCGGCGGGGUGCUCCAGGUGACGACCCGGCGCCGGUCCCUCCGGCGCAAGCACGGUCC
rnacentral:ncRNA from 2 species